rnacentral:rRNA from 1 species
UACGUAGGGUGCAAGCGUUGUCCGGAAUUAUUGGGCGUAAAGAGCUCGUAGGCGGUUCGUCGCGUCGGCUGUGAAAUCCCGAGGCUCAACCUCGGGCCUGCAGUCGAUACGGGCGGACUUGAGUGUUGCAGGGGAGACUGGAAUUCCUGGUGUAGCGGUGAAAUGCGCAGAUAUCAGGAGGAACACUGGUGGCGAAGGCGGGUCUCUGGGCAACUACUGACGCUGAGGAGCGAAAGCGUGGGGAGCGAACAGG